AAAAUUCUCUGAAACUGAAUCGGAAACGGAAUCGGAAUCGGAGCUCAGAGAGAAAGCAACAAUGGAGGCCGGAGACGAAGCGCUUGAGAUGGUGGUAGACUCAAAGGACUUGCAGCAGCAAAGCAAAGCUCUAGAUAAGCUCACUGACCAUGUCGAAGAUCGUCAGCUUGAUUCCUCUCGUGUUCAAACGGCUAUGGCUUCAAUUUAUGCAUCUAAGGAAGCUGAUCUUCAGGCUAUGAGACUGAGGGAGAAAGAACUAGCUGCUGUUAAGAUUAAUGCUGCUGAUAUUGAUAUAAUUGCAAACGAACUAGAGGUGGACAAGAAGGUUGCUGAAAGGACUUUGAGAGAGCAUAAAGGUGAUGCUGUAGCUGCAGUAAGGCAUUUGCUCAACUAGUACAGUAACUACAACGCCUCAGUCUCAAACAAAUUGGGGUCGGCUAUAUGAACUGUCGGGGAUCUUUUUCAUUGAUUCUGAAAUGUUCUAGCAAAGUGACUACUAAAUGUUCAUGCUAUAUAUGUAACUUUGAUCUGUUGACACUUUUUUUUCAAUUAUAUUGGUAAUUG
rnacentral:misc_RNA from 1 species